rnacentral:misc_RNA from 1 species
GCAAACUUGGUCAUUUAGAGGAAGUAAAAGUCGUAACAAGGUCUCCGUUGGUGAACCAGCGGAGGGAUCAUUACAGGAUAUCGCAAGAUUCCCUGCAACCCUCGCGAACCUACCGAAACGUUGCCUCGGCGGGCGCCCGGCCUCGCGCCGGGCGUCGAGCCCGCCGGCGGCCUGCCAACUCUGUCUCUUCAGCGUUGUCUCUCUGAGUUAUAUGAAAAUAUAUCAAAACUUUCAACAACGGAUCUCUUGGUUCUGGCAUCGAUGAAGAACGCAGC